rnacentral:rRNA from 1 species
UGCGUAACACGUGAGGAAUUUGUCCAUCGGCGGGGGAUAGCCGGCCCAACGGCCGGGUAAUACCGCGUACGACCCUCGGGGGGCAUCCCCUGGGGGUGAAAGCCGCAAGGCGCCGGUGGAGAAUCUCGCGGCCUAUCAGCUAGUUGGUGAGGUAAUGGCUCACCAAGGCGACGACGGGUAGCUGGUCCGAGAGGAUGACCAGCCACAUUGGGACUGAGACACGGCCCAGACUCCUACGGGAGGCAGCAGUGGGAAAUAUUGCGCAAUGGGCGAAAGCCUGACGCAGCGACGCCGCGUGUGGGAUGAAGGUCUUCGGACCGUAAACCACUGUCGG